UACGUAGGGUGCAAGCGUUAAUCGGAAUUACUGGGCGUAAAGCGUGCGCAGGCGGGUUUGUAAGUCUGUCGUGAAAUCCCCGGGCUCAACCUGGGAAUUGCGAUGGAGACUGCAAGGCUAGAAUCUGGCAGAGGGGGGUAGAAUUCCACGUGUAGCAGUGAAAUGCGUAGAGAUGUGGAGGAACACCGAUGGCGAAGGCAGCCCCCUGGGUCAAGAUUGACGCUCAUGCACGAAAGCGUGGGGAGCAAACAGG
rnacentral:rRNA from 1 species